rnacentral:tRNA from 1 species
GCGAUGGUAGUCUAGUGGUAGGACUCGACGUUGCCAACGUCGUAGCCCGGGUUCAAAAAAGUGGCACUUCGGCGCCCCUUUAACCCCUACGAACGUAGGAGUGCUUGAAAAUCCCGGCCAUCGCACCA